AACGUAGGGGGCUAGCGUUGUCCGGAGUUACUGGGCGUAAAGCGCACGCAGGCGGUCUUUUAAGUUUGGAGUGACAGUUGGUGGCUUAACUGCCAAAGUGCUUCGAAAACUGAAAGACUUGAGGGCUUCAGAGGGACACGGAAUUCCGGGUGGAGUGGUGAAAUGCGUAGAGAUCCGGAAGAACACCGGUGGCGAAGGCGGUCUGCUGGGCCAAGACUGACGCUGAGGCGCGACAGCGUGGGGAGCAAACAGG
rnacentral:rRNA from 1 species